CCUACGGGAGGCAGCAGUGAGGAAUAUUGGUCAAUGGACGAGAGUCUGAACCAGCCAAGUAGCGUGAAGGAUGACUGCCCUAUGGGUUGUAAACUUCUUUUAUAUGGGAAUAAAAUGUUCCACGUGUGGGAUUUUGUAUGUACCAUAUGAAUAAGGAUCGGCUAACUCCGUGCCAGCCGCCGCGGUAAUACGGAGGAUCCGAGCGUUAUCCGGAUUUAUUGGGUUUAAAAGUAGCUUAGGUGGAUUGUUAAGUCAGUUGUGAAAGUUUGCGGCUCAACCGUAAAAUUGCAGUUGAAACUGGCAGUCUUGAGUACAGGAGAGGUGGGCGGAAUUCGUGGUGUAGCGGUGAAAUGCUUAGCUAUCACGAAGAACUCCGAUUGCGAAGGCAGCUCACUGGACUGCAACUGACACUGAGGCUCGAAAGUGUGGGUAUCAAACAGGAUUAGAUACCCUUGUAGUC
rnacentral:rRNA from 1 species